UUUCCAGUUUUCUCUUGUUGGAGUUUGCAGCGUAUUUGUUGGUCAAAAUAAAUAAAAUAAAAUACUGUAAGUAAUCAGUUCAAUAAAUAACUGUACAAGUGGAAAAAUAUCUGUAAUCAAUGCCAUACAUUUUGAUAAGGGGCAAUCUUGCAUCAUAUGGGCAUAAAAACCCUUGGCGUGUAUUGGUGUCCGGACUAAAAGCUGGCGAUAUAGAGCAGUUGAAGAGAUUUGCUUGUGGAGGAUACUGCGACGAUUCCACUAUUGUCUACUUACAGCAUCCUUGUGUUAUUCUCAGUGCGUUAGAGGUGUUGGGUUACAAGGUUGUCGCGUCUAGUUCCACAGCCGUUAAACAGGAUUAUAAUGAGUACAUGUGGACUAUGAGAAAAGAGUUUUCUGAACCAGAACCUUCUAUUAUUGUAGAGCAAGAUAACAUCACAAAUUUUAGUAAGGAGGCUAUGCACUUGGGCAAUUAUCAGCACCAAAAUAAGGACGACGAGGUGUAAAUUUAUAUCAUUGAAUUUUUAAAAUUUGAUAUUUUUUAUCUGUUUUAAAAUUUUUGACUAAUUUUAUUAUGGACACUAAAGGUAGUCCGAAAAUUCUAGCAAGCUCUUUGAGCAACCCACUGUUGAUGAAAAAAGAAGGGGUUGUAUACAUAGCAAUUAAAGGUUCAUUGCAUGCAACAGAUUGUUCUGUAUUUGGAGCACAAGAAGAAGAAGUAAGGGUUCUGGCGAAAAAAUAUGACGUCGGCUUGAAUGGCUUUUCUAUUCGAGACAAUGUUGUCGAAGUCAUAAAUUUAUUUAGCAAACUUGGGUACAGGAUCAUUUCCAGCACUGGCGAGUCUGAAAUCACUUGGACUAUGCAAAAGGAGAUCUAACUGAUAAAAUCACUGAAUUGUUUUUCUUCUAACUAAAACACAAAUUAUUAUAAUGGAACACAAAAGUGAUUGUGACCACACCAACUGCACUGCAGCUAAUUCCAAUCAAUCAGUCUGUCAAACAUUAUCUGAAAUGGAUUGGGAAAGGGGCUUAUGGUAUGCAGCAUUUAAUGGUGAUAUAGAAAGAGUUAAUGCCCUGAUUUCUAAAGCAUCAAACAUUAAAGACACAGUCAAUGCCCCUGACAAUUCGGGAUACACUGCACUUCACUAUGCUGCACGGAAUGGGCACACUGACGUUUGUGACAUAUUGUUAAAAAAUGGAGCUUGUAUCGACGCUCAAACCAAAAGUGGCAAAGCAACACCUCUCCACAAAGCUGCUGCAGCAGGAAACACCACAGCAGUGAAGUUUCUUAUUGAUUCGGGAGCAACUGUAGACAUGCAGGAUGUUGAUGGACAGACAGCUCUUCACAAAGCUUUGGAAAACAACAAGUUUGAACUGGUCAGGAUUUUAUUAGAUGCAUGUCCUCAGUUACAUCACAUUAAAGACUUUAAAGGCAGACGUCCUGAUAUACCUGAAUAACAAAAUAUUUGUAUCUAAUUUAUGCACUUUACCUUUUUUAUAAACUCUGAUCAUUUGUUGACUUUUUUAGCUUGUUGUGUAAACGAAACUUGUCAUUAGACACAUUAUUUCUCAUAACACCUAUAAUUUAAUUUAAUUAGAAGUAUGCUGCUAUAUUUAAAUGAAACUAAAAAUAUAUUAUUUUUAGAAAACCUAAAUAAUUUCAUGUUUUAUUAUUAUGAUAACUGGUCACAACCAGUAGAAUGAAAAAUCAUUUAUAAUUUUGUUAUUCUCUUGAUGAUCGAAAUGUAUGUAAGUUAUUGAUAUGAUAACAAUGAUAAGUUUAUGUUAAAAUAAUUAUUUACUGUUAUAUUUUAUUUUUAAAUUAUUAUCAAUGUUUAUUUAUUAUUUUUAUGAGGCCAAAUUUUUGGUGUUACAGUAUUACUACCAAUUAUUUUAUGUGAUUUCAUUAGAAAAUGACCACAAAUAUUGCUUACAUAAAAUGGCAGGCGUUUAUUUAUAUUGCCACAUUUUUGCAAUUAUCAGUAAUCAAUCAGGAAUUCAAAAGUAAGAAAUACCUUUUGUUUAUAGUAAAUAUUUAAUAUUGGUGGUAAUACUAGUCAUACUUGCAAAAAACAUUUUUUGUGCCCAUUCCCAAUAAUUAAUGUAUCAACUCUGUUAACCUGUACCAGAUUUCUAAACAUUUUCAAUGGUCUAUCUGUCCAGCUGUUAAUAUCAAAAGUGAAAGUAAGCAGAAGAUAACAAUUUGCACUUUGGUCAGUUUAGUCUAGGCGCAGACCACCGACUUUUAGUUGGCCGAUAGUUGAGUCUGGCUGUUAAUCAGUAUGGAGAUGAAUGAAAGUGCGCACAUCGUAUCGGCGGAUACUUCACACAAAUUAGAAUCGGGCCCUACUAUCGGCCGACUAAAAGUAUGUAGUCUGCGCCUAGACUUAGAUGUACCAUUGCAGAAUCUCACUGACGUCACUCGCGAUAGCAAGUGAGAAACUGAUAUGAAGUUGUUCUCUUUUAUUUCGCCUGAAUAAGGAUGUCAUUAGGACCCCUAAAAUAAGAGUAUGCAUUUUUUUUAAGUUUGUAAACAAAAUGGAAAGCAAGAUUUUUGUAGCAUUUAUAUUUGUUUUUAUAUUAUCAGACUUAACUGCACAUUUAAGGUGCUGUGAGGAUAUAGGAACAGAAGUAAGGAGUCAUGGGUGUUACUAAAACAGUCAUGUCAAUAUUUAAUCCAUAUAAUUUUAAGUAAAAUACAUUUUAUUAGUAUGAAUUAAGUAUUUUAUUAUGAAUUUGUAAACAAUAUAUACCAUCCCUGUAAUUUUAGGUUUUAAAAUGUAUAUGUUACCACUGAUAUUUUGUCUUUCAAAAGAGGAUAAAAAUAGAAUGUUAUAAGUUUGGACCCCAUCAACCAAUGUUCUUCAAUCUAGGCAGCUUUUUCACUAUCGAAUGUUUAAAUAAAUAUUAGUAGUGUGGCAAUAGUAAAUUAAUUAAAGUUUGCCACAUAUGCUUGCUUAUUAUUGGUUGGUGGGCUGGUGGAAUGUAUCCUCAGUUGAUAUGCUGUAACAGAAACGAAGGUUCUGAUUUUUAAACUAAAUGGUAACAUUUACAUGGUGUAAUAAUCAUAUCAUUUUUUAACCUUUAAAUAUGUGUAAUAAUAUGUAUUUUAACAGAGAUCCAAGUAAUAAAUAGG